rnacentral:rRNA from 1 species
UACGUAGGGAGCAAGCGUUGUCCGGAAUCAUUGGGCGUAAAGCGCGCGUAGGUGGCUUCGUAAGUCCGUUGUGAAAGUCAAGGGCUCAACCCUUGAAUGCCGGUGGAUACUGCAGGGCUAGAGUCCGGAAGAGGCGAGUGGAAUUCCUGGUGUAGCGGUGAAAUGCGCAGAUAUCAGGAGGAACACCGAUGGCGAAGGCAGCUCGCUGGGACGGUACUGACGCUGAGGCGCGAAAGCGUGGGGAGCAAACAGG